rnacentral:lncRNA from 1 species
UCCAACGCAUUAUCAUACCUUGAAAACAAGGUUGACAAGUUUUUUUUUUUAAUCUUUCAGCCUCCGGAUGAGGAACCAAUUUAUAUUUCCGUCUCAGGUGAUGAAGAAGAAGUGCCCAUCAAACCUCCUCCAAUUUAUCAUGUUCUAGAAGAUCUGAGACCCAAGGACGAAAGCGAGCAGGAGGCGCAAGACACAAAUGAUGAAUAAUGUUAGGAAAUAAUUCUGUUUUUGGGGGGGGACCACCUUAUUUUGUGCCCGCGUGGAAUUACUGUAGUAGAAUGCUUUUGUAGAGGUAGCUUUAUGGGUUUUAUAUAUCCCAAACUGUGGAGCCUGCCUAAAUAUUUGAAAUUUAAUAAACAAGCUUUAAUCGUAUUGUUCAAGGUGGCAAAGCAAAUGUUUAUCUGUUGUUAUAUACCAAGUGCUGAAGUGUUCACAUAAUGGUCUAGAACCGCCCUCAAGUGAUGUAGUUAUUUGCAUACGAGAAAGUAAUCUGCUAUAUAUAGUAUAUGCUAGAUUUGUGGAUACUGUUCAUUCGAAGGAGCAAUUAUCUGGGGGAUUCUAGUCUUGAAUUGACUCGAAAAUGCAUUCUUUUGUUCCAAACAGCUCUAAACUGGGAUAACUGAAAAUCCAUACAGUGGCAGAUUUACUCCGGCCACUAUUUCAAACUGUUCUUCAUGCGAAAAUAAUCGUGAGAGCGAAGCAUGAGUUUAGUUUGACGUACAACAAGUCAUCCGGCGUUUUAGCUAAUUAGCUUUCAACAGAAGGGGGUGCUCAUUGAACGCUUUCUUAAGUUGUUGCAGUGCUAUACAUGUACUAGCCACUUGUAACAACGGGGUGGGAGUGACUGCCCACAAUAAGUUCUGAAAGCCUAUACAUGAUUAUGAUAGCUGAAUAACUGUAAUUAACGAAGCUGUAACGAUUAACAAUUUCAACCAUGAAAGCAUUUGUAGGCUAUAAAUUAAGCUAUCUAUUGUAUUCCAUGUAAGGCAAUAAAGUCUAAAGAACUAAGAUUUCUAACUAUAAAUGCUGGUCAUAUGUUGGUAAACUCUUCCCCCCACCCCACCCCCCCUACCCACUUCGUCAAUAUUUCGCAAAGUGUCCACUACCAUGCGUUCUUCUAUACUUUGUAAAGUUGAAAUAACAAAGUUAGUUGCAUUACAUUUGUAAACCAAAACUUAUAACGAUAUAUCACAUACUGAUUAAUGUAUAAAAGAAUUGUAAAUAAUAAAUAAAUAAAUUGUAGUAAAUAGUGAAUAAUCUUAUUAGAAAUGGCGUAGAUAGAUUAGAAG